CAGUCGCCGCGGGAAUACGGAGGGUGCAAGCGUUAAUCGGAAUUACUGGGCGUAAAGCGCACGCAGGCGGUCUGUCAAGUCGGAUGUGAAAUCCCCGGGCUCAACCUGGGAACUGCAUUCGAAACUGGCAGGCUAGAGUCUUGUAGAGGGGGGUAGAAUUCCAGGUGUAGCGGUGAAAUGCGUAGAGAUCUGGAGGAAUACCGGUGGCGAAGGCGGCCCCCUGGACAAAGACUGACGCUCAGGUGCGAAAGCGUGGGGAGCAAACAGGAUUAGAGACCCGCGUAGUCCCUGUCUCUUAUAC
rnacentral:rRNA from 1 species